rnacentral:rRNA from 1 species
UAGGGAAUCUUCCACAAUGGGCGCAAGCCUGAUGGAGCAACACCGCGUGAGUGAAGAAGGGUUUCGGAUCGUAAACUCUGUUGGUAGAGAAGAACGUUGGUGAGAGUGGAAAGCUCAUCAAGUGACGGUAUCUAACCAGAAAGCCACGGCUAACUACGUGCCCG